CCACUUUGGGUAAAGUCCAGGGUCACUACAGUUGGGAAAAUGUUCGCGAAUGGAACGGUAUCCCAUACGCCAAGCCCCCCGUAGGCGCACUGCGCUGGGAGUAC
rnacentral:ribozyme from 1 species